rnacentral:misc_RNA from 1 species
UACGUACUGGGCGAACGUUAUUCGGAAUCACUGGGCUUAAAGGGUGCGUAGGCGGUCCGGCAAGUCAGGUGUGAAAGCCCCCGGCCCAACCGGGGAAUUGCGCUUGAAACUGCCGGGCUUGAGUACGAUAGGGGUGCGCGGAACUUCCGGUGGAGCGGUGAAAUGUGUUGAUAUCGGAAGGAACACCGGUGGCGAAAGCGGCGCACUGGGUCGUAACUGACGCUGAGGCACGAAAGCCAGGGGAGCGAACGGG